AAGCACCUCCUGCACUGUGAUUGGUCAGAAUUACUCGCUCAUACACGCCAGAAAGGGAAAAAGAACUGCGCGUGAUUACACUACUAGCCAAUCCACGAACAGGGAGGCGGGACUUUCCGAAUACGGACACACAAUAAAACAGAUGAUCUUUCAGCUUGCAGUCUUUAUUAAAAAUCACCAGAAGAGAGAUAGACAUAAAGCCAGAAGUGCCAAAGCAGGACAUACUGAAGAUCCAUAUGAUGAUCCUAACCACAAUAAAGCACUUACUGAAGAUGACUGAAUGAGAACAAGAUGUGUGGAUGAUUUUGAUGUGAGGUGUGAUGAAUCCAGGUGGAAUCCAUUACCUCCAUUUGUUUAA